rnacentral:rRNA from 1 species
GGCCCUACGGGGUGCAGCAGGCGCGAAAACUUUACAAUGCUGGGAACAGCGAUAAGGGAACCUCGAGUGCCAGGUUACAAAUCUGGCUGUCGUGAUGCCUAAAAAGCAUUAUAUAGCAAGGGCCGGGCAAGACCGGUGCCAGCCGCCGCGGUAACACCGGCGGCUCGAGUGGUAACCGUUAUUAUUGGGUCUAAAGGGUCUGUAGCCGGCCGGAUAAGUCUCUUGAGAAAUCUGGCAGCUUAACUGUCAGGCUUUCAGGAGAUACUGUCUGGCUCGAGGCCGGGAGAGGUGAGAGGUACUUCAGGGGUAGGGGUGAAAUCUUGUAAUCCUUGAAGGACCACCAGUGGCGAAGGCGUCUCACCAGAACGGACCUGACGGCAAGGGACGAAAGCUAGGGGCACGAACCGGAUUAGAUACCCGGGUAGUCCUAGCCGUAAACGAUACUCGCUAGGUGUCGGCCACGGUGCGACCGUUGUCGGUGCCGUAGGGAAGCCGUGAAGCGAGCCACCUGGGAAGUACGGCCGCAAGGCUGAAACUUAAAGGAAUUGGCGGGGGAGCACCACAACGGGUGGAGCUUGCGGUUUAAUUGGAUUCAACGCCGGAAAUCUU